rnacentral:rRNA from 1 species
GAGUAAUGCCUAGGAAAUUGCCCUGAUGUGGGGGAUAACCAUUGGAAACGAUGGCUAAUACCGCAUGAUGCCUACGGGCCAAAGAGGGGGACCUUCGGGCCUCUCGCGUCAGGAUAUGCCUAGGUGGGAUUAGCUAGUUGGUGAGGUAAGGGCUCACCAAGGCGACGAUCCCUAGCUGGUCUGAGAGGAUGAUCAGCCACACUGGAACUGAGACACGGUCCAGACUCCUACGGGAGGCAGCAGUGGGGAAUAUUGCACAAUGGGCGCAAGCCUGAUGCAGCCAUGCCGCGUGUGUGAAGAAGGCCUUCGGGUUGUAAAGCACUUUCAGUCGUGAGGAAGGUAGUGUAGUUAAUAGCUGCAUUAUUUGACGUUAGCGACAGAAGAAGCACCGGCUAACUCCGUGCCAGCAGCCGCGGUAAUACGGAGGGUGCGAGCGUUAAUCGGAAUUACUGGGCGUAAAGCGCAUGCAGGUGGUUUGUUAAGUCAGAUGUGAAAGCCCGGGGCUCAACCUCGGAAUUGCAUUUGAAACUGGCAGACUAGAGUACUGUAGAGGGGGGUAGAAUUUCAGGUGUAGCGGUGAAAUGCGUAGAGAUCUGAAGGAAUACCGGUGGCGAAGGCGGCCCCCUGGACAGAUACUGACACUCAGAUGCGAAAGCGUGGGGAGCAAACAGGAUUAGAUACCCUGGUAGUCCACGCCGUAAACGAUGUCUACUUGGAGGUUGUGGCCUUGAGCCGUGGCUUUCGGAGCUAACGCGUUAAGUAGACCGCCUGGGGAGUACGGUCGCAAGAUUAAAACUCAAAUGAAUUGACGGGGGCCCGCACAAGCGGUGGAGCAUGUGGUUUAAUUCGAUGCAACGCGAAGAACCUUACCUACUCUUGACAUCCAGAGAACUUUCCAGAGAUGGAUUGGUGCCUUCGGGAACUCUGAGACAGGUGCUGCAUGGCUGUCGUCAGCUCGUGUUGUGAAAUGUUGGGUUAAGUCCCGCAACGAGCGCAACCCUUAUCCUUGUUUGCCAGCGAGUAAUGUCGGGAACUCCAGGGAGACUGCCGGUGAUAAACCGGAGGAAGGUGGGGACGACGUCAAGUCAUCAUGGCCCUUACGAGUAGGGCUACACACGUGCUACAAUGGCGCAUACAGAGGGCAGCCAACUUGCGAAAGUGAGCGAAUCCCAAAAAGUGCGUCGUAGUCCGGAUUGGAGUCUGCAACUCGACUCCAUGAAGUCGGAAUCGCUAGUAAUCGUGGAUCAGAAUGCCACGGUGAAUACGUUCCCGGGCCUUGUACACACCGCCCGUCACACCAUGGGAGUGGGCUGCAAAAGAAGUAGGUAGUUUAACCUUCGGGGGGACGCUUACCACUUUGUGGUUCAUGACUGGGGUGAAGUCGUAACAAGGUAGCGCUAGGGGAACCUGGCGCUGGAUCACCUCCUUA